rnacentral:rRNA from 1 species
GAUGAACGCUAGCUACAGGCUUAACACAUGCAAGUCGGGGGGCAGCAUGACCUAGCAAUAGGUUGAUGGCGACCGGCGCACGGGUGAGUAACACGUAUCCAACCUGCCGAUUAUUCCGGGAUAGCCUUUCGAAAGAAAGAUUAAUACUGGAUAGCAUAACGAGAAGGCAUCUUCUUGUUAUUAAAGAAUUUCGAUAAUCGAUGGGGAUGCGUUCCAUUAGUUUGUUGGCGGGGUAACGGCCCACCAAGACAUCGAUGGAUAGGGGUUCUGAGAGGAAGGUCCCCCACAUUGGAACUGAGACACGGUCCAAACUCCUACGGGAGGCAGCAGUGAGGAAUAUUGGUCAAUGGACGAGAGUCUGAACCAGCCAAGUAGCGUGAAGGAUGACUGCCCUAUGGGUUGUAAACUUCUUUUAUAUGGGAAUAAAGUGGGCCACGUGUGGCUUUUUGUAUGUACCAUACGAAUAAGGAUCGGCUAACUCCGUG